rnacentral:rRNA from 1 species
UGGGCGUAAAGCGUGCGCAGGCGGAUUGUUAAGCAAGACGUGAAAGCCCCGGGCUUAACCUGGGAAUGGCGUUUUGAACUGGCAGUCUAGAGUGCGUCAGAGGGGGGUGGAAUUCCACGUGUAGCAGUGAAAUGCGUAGAGAUGUGGAGGAACACCAAUGGCGAAGGCAGCCCCCUGGGAUGACACUGACGCUCAUGUACGAAAGCGUGGGUAGCAAACAGGAUUAGAUACCCUGGUAGUCCACGCCCUAAACGAUGUCAACUGGUUGUUGGGGGAGUGAAAUCCCUUAGUAACGAAGCUAACGCGUGAAGUUGACCGCCUGGGGAGUACGGUCGCAAGAUUAAAACUCAAAGGAAUUGACGGGGACCCGCACAAGCGGUGGAUGAUGUGGAUUAAUUCGAUGCAACGCGAAAAACCUUACCUACCCUUGACAUGUCCAGGAUCCUGCAGAGAUGCGGGAGCGCCCGAAAGGGAAUUGGAACACAGGUGCUGCAUGGCUGUCGUCAGCUCGUGUCGUGAGAUGUUGGGUUAAGUCCCGCAACGAGCGCAACCCUUAUCAUUAGUUGCUACGCAAGGGCACUCUAAUGAGACUGCCGGUGACAAACCGGAGGAAGGUGGGGAUGACGUCAAGUCCUCAUGGCCCUUAUGGGUAGGGCUUCACACGUCAUACAAUGGU